rnacentral:rRNA from 1 species
GCCCAGACUCCUACGGGAGGCAGCAGUGGGGAAUAUUGCACAAUGGGGGAAACCCUGAUGCAGCGACGCCGCGUGAGCGAUGAAGUAUUUCGGUAUGUAAAGCUCUCUCAGCAGGGAAGAAGAUGACGGUACCUGACUAAGAAGCCCCGGCUAACUACGUGCCAGCAGCCGCGGUAAUACGUAGGGGGCAAGCGUUAUCCGGAUUUACUGGGUGUAAAGGGAGCGUAGACGGCGAUGCAAGCCAGAUGUGAAAGCCCGGGGCUCAACCCCGGGACUGCAUUUGGAACUGUGUGGCUGGAGUGUCGGAGAGGCAGGCGGAAUUCCUAGUGUAGCGGUGAAAUGCGUAGAUAUCAGGAGGAACACCGGUGGCGAAGGCGGCCUGCUGGACUGCAACUGACGUUGAGGCCCGAAAGCGUGGGGAGCAAACAGGAUUAGAUACCCUGGUAU